ensembl:lncRNA
CCUCGAUCUGUCAGGGGAGGAAAUCUGGGGGAGGCAGGAGGGGAGGACAGAGGACUCCAUGGCAGUCUGCAGAAUGAGAGCACUGCAUUAGGAGCAGGGACUAUGAAAAAGGAUGAGGAUCCAGUUCACUGGCAGGAUCACAGAUGUUUGUGGACUUGAGCUACACAUAUAAACUAUUUUACAUAAAAGAAGAACCAUGACCGGAAAUUUUAACCACAAUUUAAGCUUAAUCCUCUCCGGAGUUCAGAAACUUCCAUAAUCCUUCUCAACCAUCCUUUGAAGCAGAUGGAUUCCCAUUUUGCAAAUAAAGACAUUGAGGCAUAAGAAGAUUGAUUUGCUCAAAAUCAAACAUGUAGAAAACAAGGUUAGAACAAAUAUUGUGCCAGAC